AUCGUUCAAUCUAAUUAUUAUUAGAUCGGAAGUAAGCUAAGGCUGAAGGAACGCAGA
ncrna:unclassified sequences Glutamine riboswitch